rnacentral:tRNA from 1 species
UCCUUAGUAGCUUAGUGAUAGGGAGGUCGGUUGUUAUAUGAUUGGUCGUAGGUUUCAAUCCUACUUGGGGAU